CGGCGUGUAGUUCAGAGGUAGAACAGUGGACUGUAGAGUGUAUGGAAUCACAAUCUAAUCAAAAGUAUAAAUCUAAAUCUAAAUAUAACGAAAAAUUAAAAUUAAAAGUAAGAAGAUAAAUGUAGAUAUGAAUCGAAGUAAUGAAUUGCUAUUUAUUAUGUUCGUACAAACAUAAAAAUCAUAGUUAAAUUAAAUAAUGUUUCAAACAGUGAUUCUAUACAUGCAGAAAUCCACAUGUCACCGGUUCAAGUCCGGUCACGCCGA
rnacentral:tRNA from 1 species